rnacentral:rRNA from 1 species
AUUGAACGCUGGCGGCAGGCCUAACACAUGCAAGUCGAACGGUAACAGGAAGACGCUUGCUUCUUUGCUGACAAGUGGCGGACGGGUGAGUAAUGUCUGGGAAACUGCCUGAUGGAGGGGGAUAACUACUGGAAACGGUAGCUAAUACCGCAUAACGUCGCAAGACCAAAGAGGGGGACCUUCGGGCCUCUUGCCAUCGGAUGUGCCCAGAUGGGAUUAGCUAGUAGGUGGGGUAACGGCUCACCUAGGCGACGAUCCCUAGCUGGUCUGAGAGGAUGACCAGCCACACUGGAACUGAGACACGGUCCAGACUCCUACGGGAGGCAGCAGUGGGGAAUAUUGCACAAUGGGCGCAAGCCUGAUGCAGCCAUGCCGCGUGUAUGAAGAAGGCCUUCGGGUUGUAAAGUACUUUCAGCGGGGAGGAAGGGAGUAAAGUUAAUACCUUUGCUCAUUGACGUUACCCGCAGAAGAAGCACCGGCUAACUCCGUG